rnacentral:lncRNA from 1 species
AACAGCGGAUCCGGCAGAUGCUUGGCUCGAACAAACAAACCAGAACCAAAACCCGAAGGGGCCAAUAAAGGAUUCGAAAAACCUACCGUUAACCACUGUGACUGAACAGCGAACCCACCGAUUCUUCACUGACUUCCGCCGUAGCCACACCAACCAAAGGGACGGUUGAGCCAAGGAGAGUUUCCGAUACAACCGCCAGCGUCUUCAACCAGGGUCAUGCGCAGCGGGACUCUCCGCCGUCCGAUUGGAGUUGCCGCUACCUCAGUGAAAAAGACACCACACCACUGCCGUCGGAGGAAAGAAUCGCCCAUCACCGAAGCUCAGAUAUGACAAUCACCCACCAUCACUAAGCUCUACAAGAAAGAAAGACAAGGGGAGGAGGGAGAAGCCACACACGCACCAAUGAAGC